rnacentral:ribozyme from 1 species
ACUAACAUACUCUGCAAUGGGAUGGGAUCCGACGCCCAUUUGAGGGAUAAAACAGGCUCUCCCAUUGAAAUAUCCUGACACGUCCUUGACGAGCAGAGUGGUAACAUGCGCUGUCUAAUAUAUCCGCACGGGUAUAUUAAUUGGUUCUAACACCUCGUGUGGAUGGUGGCGCUUGGCAAAUCAGGAAGGG